UACGAAGGGGGCUAGCGUUGUUCGGAUUUACUGGGCGUAAAGCGCACGUAGGCGGAUCGAUCAGUCAGGGGUGAAAUCCCAGGGCUCAACCCUGGAACUGCCUUUGAUACUGUCGAUCUGGAGUAUGGAAGAGGUGAGUGGAAUUCCGAGUGUAGAGGUGAAAUUCGUAGAUAUUAGGAAGAACACCAGUGGCGAAGGCGGCUCACUGGUCCGGUACUGACGCUGAGGUGCGAAAGCGUGGGGAGCAAACAGG
rnacentral:rRNA from 1 species